GGGCCGCACGCGCGCUACACUGACUGGCUCAGCGUGUGCCUACCCUACGCCGGCAGGCGCGGGUAACCCGUUGAACCCCAUUCGUGAUGGGGAUCGGGGAUUGCAAUUAUUCCCCAUGAACGAGGAAUUCCCAGUAAGUGCGGGUCAUAAGCUUGCGUUGAUUAAGUCCCUGCCCUUUGUACAC
rnacentral:rRNA from 1 species